GUUGGUGUAGCUCAGUGGUAGACUACAUGUUCUGUAUGUGUGAUAUCCUGGGUUCAAUCCCCAGCUUCUCCU